UGUCUACAAAGCUAGUCGUCAAGUGAAGUGUCGUGGCGUGCAUCGUAAAGGCAUAGUAUCGUGUAUCGUGUGAGCACGAACCGUCGUGUGAUAUUGAAGGCUAUAAUAGCCAAGACAUUCUCAGUCGUUAUUUUCCUGAGAGCGACGAAGAGAAUCGCUAGUCCGUGCUUGUAUUCCAAAGAACAAACCUUCUUCUAGACACAUUUUCGAUAUCCAGGAUGGCUUCCAACACAUCCUCCACAAGCAUAAAAUAUGAAAGUUUCAUCAGCUGUCCGAUGGGUGGCAAAUCCGUUGCGGAACUCCCUGGCAUUGGGAGUGCACUCGGCGGCCAACUCACCGCGCAGGGCUUCGCCACGGCCGAUAAGGUAUACGGGCAGUUUCUGGUUCUCGGGAAGGACGAAGAGAAAUUUUGCACAUGGUUGAAGACCAAGUGUAAUGCAAAUAAGAAGCAGGCCGGGGAUUGUUUCAACGCUCUAAGGGAAUAUGCCAACAGCUACCUGUGAGCAGUGCAGCUGAAGAAAUAACUCGCUUUACUGUGCCACAGCUGGUCCUACAUUGUACAUGUACAUGUAAAUGUACAAUGUAGCUGUUCAACAGUAUGAGCAAGGUCAGUGACCAGUGUGCUGGUGACAUUUCCUACCAUUUCCAAUGCAUCUGUCCUAUCGUCUGAUUUGCCAUUCAUUUACUGCAUAGGAUGGACAUGAAGCAUGAUACUACACGUGUUCCUUCUCCUUCAUUUGUGAUUGUACGUCCUCCUUACAACUGAUCUCCUGUUUCUCGUUUAUUAUCCUUCCACUGUACGUGUAUGUACUGAUAGCUUUUUUCAUUGAAAUCCUUUUCUCUCUGAAUCGUAAUCGUAUUGUCGGUGUGGCACCGGUUUUA